rnacentral:misc_RNA from 1 species
GUUCCUUGUAGCUCUGCAUCCACACUUGCCAAUUUCCCAUCACCAAUAUGUUGAAAACUGUGACCAUGCCACUUGGAUAGUCAUUGAAGUUAAAAAGCAAAUAGUCAUUAUCAGAAAGCUCAGUUUGGGCUAAAUUGGGGUUUCCAGCGUUGACAAUCCCACCAAAGAUCUGUAAACCAAGAGAGCAAUAAAAGCACAAGAUGCAGAAUAUGGUCCCCAAGUACGGCAUCAGACUUGGUAUGAGGGUCAAAAAUGUGGCAACAAAAGCACGAUAUCGCUCUACGUGCAGCAAGAGUCUCAUUAAUCGUAACAUUCUUGCGAUAAGAAGA